AUGGUUCAAGAUCGAAGUCUUUCAGAUUCGUGCAUGCAGCAGAUCUUGGAUCUUUCUGCUCGGCAUGGAUUCAUACAAGGAUUUCUCACGCUCCAUAACGAACUACACAUCGAGUUACAGAUUCGCCUUCAGCAUUUCAUCAACAAAUUCUUACUCGAAGUGGAAGGCGGUAGAUCCCUGAACAAUUCUUUUGUACAUUGCAUGACUAUCAGUAAGUUUCACACUAACAGAAUGAGAAACGUAAACUAUCGCGCAAGACGUAUUCAACCAUUUUGA